rnacentral:rRNA from 1 species
ACCCGGAGAACUGAAACAUCUUAGUACCCGGAGGAAGAGAAAGAAAAUUCGAUUCCCUUAGUAGCGGCGAGCGAAACGGGAAGAGCCCAAACCAAAAAGCUUGCUUGUUGGGGUUGUAGGACACUCUAUACGGAGUUACAAAGGACGACAUUAGACGAAUCAUCUGGAAAGAUGAAUCAAAGAAGGUAAUAAUCCUGUAGUCGAAAAUGUUGUCUCUCUUGAGUGGAUCCUGAGUACGACGGAGCACGUGAAAUUCCGUCGGAAUCUGGGAGGACCAUCUCCUAAGGCUAAAUACUCUCUAGUGACCGAUAGUGAACCAGUACCGUGAGGGAAAGGUGAAAAGCACCCCGGAAGGGGAGUGAAAUAGAACCUGAAACCGUGUGCUUACAAGUAGUCAGAGCCCGUUAAUGGGUGAUGGCGUGCCUUUUGUAGAAUGAACCGGCGAGUUACGAUUUGAUGCAAGGUUAAGCAGUAAAUGUGGAGCCGUAGCGAAAGCGAGUCUGAAUAGGGCGUUUAGUAUUUGGUCGUAGACCCGAAACCAGGUGAUCUACCCUUGGUCAGGUUGAAGUUCAGGUAACACUGAAUGGAGGACCGAACCGACUUACGUUGAAAAGUGAGCGGAUGAACUGAGGGUAGCGGAGAAAUUCCAAUCGAACCUGGAGAUAGCUGGUUCUCUCCGAAAUAGCUUUAGGGCUAGCCUCAAGUGAUGAUUAUUGGAGGUAGAGCACUGUUUGGACGAGGGGCCCCUCUCGGGUUACCGAAUUCAGACAAACUCCGAAUGCCAAUUAAUUUAACUUGGGAGUCAGAACAUGGGUGAUAAGGUCCGUGUUCGAAAGGGAAACAGCCCAGACCACCAGCUAAGGUCCCAAAAUAUAUGUUAAGUGGAAAAGGAUGUGGCGUUGCCCAGACAACUAGGAUGUUGGCUUAGAAGCAGCCAUCAUUUAAAGAGUGCGUAAUAGCUCACUAGUCGAGUGACACUGCGCCGAAAAUGUACCGGGGCUAAACAUAUUACCGAAGCUGUGGAUUGUCCUUUGGACAAUGGUAGGAGAGCGUUCUAAGGGCGUUGAAGCAUGAUCGUAAGGACAUGUGGAGCGCUUAGAAGUGAGAAUGCCGGUGUGAGUAGCGAAAGACGGGUGAGAAUCCCGUCCACCGAUUGACUAAGGUUUCCAGAGGAAGGCUCGUCCGCUCUGGGUUAGUCGGGUCCUAAGCUGAGGCCGACAGGCGUAGGCGAUGGAUAACAGGUUGAUAUUCCUGUACCACCUAUAAUCGUUUUAAUCGAUGGGGGGACGCAGUAGGAUAGGCGAAGCGUGCGAUUGGAUUGCACGUCUAAGCAGUAAGGCUGAGUAUUAGGCAAAUCCGGUACUCGUUAAGGCUGAGCUGUGAUGGGGAGAAGACAUUGAGUCUUCGAGUCGUUGAUUUCACACUGCCGAGAAAAGCCUCUAGAUAGAAAAUAGGUGCCCGUACCGCAAACCGACACAGGUAGUCAAGAUGAGAAUUCUAAGGUGAGCGAGCGAACUCUCGUUAAGGAACUCGGCAAAAUGACCCCGUAACUUCGGGAGAAGGGGUGCUCUUUAGGGUUAACGCCCAGAAGAGCCGCAGUGAAUAGGCCCAAGCGACUGUUUAUCAAAAACACAGGUCUCUGCUAAACCGUAAGGUGAUGUAUAGGGGCUGACGCCUGCCCGGUGCUGGAAGGUUAAGAGGAGUGGUUAGCUUCUGCGAAGCUACGAAUCGAAGCCCCAGUAAACGGCGGCCGUAACUAUAACGGUCCUAAGGUAGCGAAAUUCCUUGUCGGGUAAGUUCCGACCCGCACGAAAGGCGUAACGAUUUGGGCACUGUCUCAACGAGAGACUCGGUGAAAUCAUAGUACCUGUGAAGAUGCAGGUUACCCGCGACAGGACGGAAAGACCCCGUGGAGCUUUACUGUAGCCUGAUAUUGAAAUUCGGCACAGCUUGUACAGGAUAGGUAGGAGCCUUUGAAACGUGAGCGCUAGCUUACGUGGAGGCGCUGGUGGGAUACUACCCUAGCUGUGUUGGCUUUCUAACCCGCACCACUUAUCGUGGUGGGAGACAGUGUCAGGCGGGCAGUUUGACUGGGGCGGUCGCCUCCUAAAAGGUAACGGAGGCGCUCAAAGGUUCCCUCAGAAUGGUUGGAAAUCAUUCAUAGAGUGUAAAGGCAUAAGGGAGCUUGACUGCGAGACCUACAAGUCGAGCAGGGUCGAAAGACGGACUUAGUGAUCCGGUGGUUCCGCAUGGAAGGGCCAUCGCUCAACGGAUAAAAGCUACCCCGGGGAUAACAGGCUUAUCUCCCCCAAGAGUUCACAUCGACGGGGAGGUUUGGCACCUCGAUGUCGGCUCAUCGCAUCCUGGGGCUGUAGUCGGUCCCAAGGGUUGGGCUGUUCGCCCAUUAAAGCGGUACGCGAGCUGGGUUCAGAACGUCGUGAGACAGUUCGGUCCCUAUCCGUUGUGGGCGUAGGAAAUUUGAGAGGAGCUGUCCUUAGUACGAGAGGACCGGGAUGGACAUACCUCUGGUGUACCAGUUGUCGUGCCAACGGCAUAGCUGGGUAGCUAUGUGUGGACGGGAUAAGUGCUGAAAGCAUCUAAGCAUGAAGCCCCCCUCAAGAUGAGAUUUCCCAACUUCGGUUAUAAGAUCCCUCAAAGAUGAUGAGGUUAAUAGGUUCGAGGUGGAAGCAUGGUGACAUGUGGAGCUGACGAAUACUAAUCGAUCGAAGACUUAAUCAA